GAGUCUAGUUUUUGGCCAAUCAAUGAACCUGAGGACAUCAAUAAAAUUUCUAUAAACAAUAGGACUAGUCAGAGACAAGAGCUUCCCACUGAAUCAAUCAUGAAAAUGGUUAAACCAUCACCCAAGCCAUCAAUAGAGGAGGCACCCAAAUUAGAAUUAAAAUCCAUCCCCGAGUACCUUAAGUAUACAUAUUUAGGUCCAGUGGAAGCCUUACCUAUA
rnacentral:lncRNA from 1 species